AUUUUAGUUUCAGAUGGACUUCAGUUAGUAAAAGAGAAUGGUAAUUAUUUUUAGUAAUUUUUUUUUUUUUGAGAGAUAUGCUAUCCGUUUCGUUUAUUUCACUUAAAAAUAAAUUUAACUGAAAAAAUGAAUCUGAUAGACUUGCGAAGAGAGGCUGGUUGGACGAUCCUACCUGUGUACUAUGCGAGUCGUGCGAUGAAACAGUGGACCACCUGUUCACCCAGUGCGUAUUCGUUAAGUUUAUCAUAGUGUCAGAAGAGGACGAUACUCAGGCCCAUGAUCUGCUGGAUGACGUAAAUUUCGUAUGGGAUAGGUGGAUGGUUAGAAGGGACCACCUAAAAAAGCGAAACUUCCUUUCUAUUCUUAUAGACUGCUGGUGGAUUAUAUGAAAGGCUAGAAACGACUCAAUCUUCCUAAAUAUUAGUUCAAAUCCCGAGUUAGCGGUACACAAACUCAGGCUUUUAGUGAAGGAGUGAGACUUUUUACGUACUUAGUUAGUUUUUUUUUUUUUUUUUUUUUUUUUUAAAUUUUUUUUUUUUUUUUUUUUUUUGCUAGUAUAGUUUUUCUUUUCCUCCCGGGGCCUAGUUGCCCCACAUCUGUAGCUAAAUUUAUCUUUUCAAUAAAUAAAGCGGAUAAUAUGCUACAUCUUUCUUAAAAAAAAAAAAAUUAUGAUUUGAACUUGAAAUAUUGAGUACGAACUAUUAAAUUUUUUACCACUUGCGCUAGACACGUGUCGGUAUUUUUAGUAACAUUUAAAAAAAAGAUAUUUGUAGUUAU
rnacentral:lncRNA from 1 species